rnacentral:rRNA from 1 species
CCUACGGGUGGCUGCAGUGGGGAAUAUUGGGCAAUGGACGCAAGUCUGACCCAGCAACGCCGCGUGAAGGAAGAAGGCUUUCGGGUUGUAAACUUCUUUUAAGGGGGAAGAGCAGAAGACGGUACCCCUUGAAUAAGCCACAGCUAACUACGUGCCAGCAGCCGCGGUAAUACGUAGGUGGCAAGCGUGGUCCGGCGUUGCUGGGGGUAAAGGGCGUGCAGCCGGAGAGACAAGGCAGAGGUGAAAUCCGAAGGAUCAAACUGCGAACUGCAUUUGAAACUGUUUCCCUUGAGUAUCGGAGAGGUCAUCGGAAUUCCUAGUGUAGCGGUGAAAUGCGUAGAUAUCACGAAGAACCCCGAUUGCGAAGGCAGCUUACUAAACUGUGACUGACAUUGAUGCUCGAAAGUGUGGGUAUCAAACAGGAUUAGAUACCCGGGUAGUC